AUAACAUGCAAUUGGAAAGUUAUUCUGCAUACAAUAAUCUAUAAUAUAUCAAAAGUUUUUUUUAUUUUUUAUUAUGAAAGGCACCCUGAUUGGGAAACCGUGCUCGAAGAGAUGGAAGCUAAACUAAUUGGUUGUUAUGGGCAAUUUUUUGUUUCUCCAUAUGUUUCAAUACACGUUUGUAAACCGCGGUUUUAUCUCACGGUGCCUGAUUUAACAUUGCAUUGUGUUUCAUCCCAACCGGACAAUUUCUGCUUCACUUUUUCCUAUGAACGCAAUUUGUCGCCAUCACGCAUUCGCCUGUUUUAAUUUGUAGUCUCCCGUAAGCAAUGAAGCAGCCAAGUCGUAUUUCUAUAUUUUCAUUUUUUUUAUGCUACCGGACAUAUACAGAUUGCAAAAAAAAAACAACAUAAUCACGUUAUUAGUGUUGCGCAUGUUUAGGAACCAUGUAAGGAAUUCACAUGUAAUGUAUCUAUAUUUUGUAAAGGUAACAAUUUACCCAACCUCCGGGCUAGUCCCCCCCGGCUCGUUUGGGUAUGGAUGGCAUGCACUUGAUUUUACAAGUAUAUAUAUAAAGCUGUAUGUACAUAUUGUAAAGUAGCACAUUUUAGUGAAUGUAUACGCUAUAAAUAGCCCAAAAUUUAGGAUUUCUAUAUUGCUUGCAGUAUAAAAAAAUAAAAAAUUUUGAAAACAUUUUACAAUGUAAAUAUGGGAAAUGUAUAAUUCACUGUAAAAUAUUUGCAAAAUUAUUUAGUAUUUAGAAAAAUAAAUAUAUGCAUUGUUAUGAUAAUAAAACAGUAGUUUCUAAAAUAUCAA